rnacentral:rRNA from 1 species
AGAUUUUGAUCCUGGCUCAGGAUGAACGCUAGCGGCAGGCUUAACACAUGCAAGUCGAGGGGCAGCAUAAUGGAUAGCAAUAUCUAUGGUGGCGACCGGCGCACGGGUGCGUAACGCGUAUGCAACCUACCUUUAACAGGGGGAUAACACUGAGAAAUUGGUACUAAUACCCCAUAAUAUCAUAGAAGGCAUCUUUUAUGGUUGAAAAUUCCGAUGGUUAGAGAUGGGCAUGCGUUGUAUUAGCUAGUUGGUGGGGUAACGGCUCACCAAGGCGACGAUACAUAGGGGGACUGAGAGGUUAACCCCCCACACUGGUACUGAGACACGGACCAGACUCCUACGGGAGGCAGCAGUGAGGAAUAUUGGUCAAUGGACGCAAGUCUGAACCAGCCAUGCCGCGUGCAGGAUGACGGCUCUAUGAGUUGUAAACUGCUUUUGUACGAGGGUAAACGCAGAUACGUGUAUCUGUCUGAAAGUAUCGUACGAAUAAGGAUCGGCUAACUCCGUGCCAGCAGCCGCGGUAAUACGGAGGAUUCAAGCGUUAUCCGGAUUUAUUGGGUUUAAAGGGUGCGUAGGCGGUUUGAUAAGUUAGAGGUGAAAUUUCGGGGCUCAACCCUGAACGUGCCUCUAAUACUGUUGAGCUAGAGAGUAGUUGCGGUAGGCGGAAUGUAUGGUGUAGCGGUGAAAUGCUUAGAGAUCAUACAGAACACCGAUUGCGAAGGCAGCUUACCAAACUAUAUCUGACGUUGAGGCACGAAAGCGUGGGGAGCAAACAGGAUUAGAUACCCUGGUAGUCCGCACGGUAAACGAUGGAUGCCCGCUGUUGGUCUGAAUAGGUCAGCG